GGUACAAAAAUCUGAAUUGUGAACCAAGAUUUUUAUUGCCUGAUUUUGAUGCUCUGGAAGCCAUAGUUCAGAUUUCAAGUACAAAAAUGAUAUGUUCCCUCUUAUUAGAUGAAAUGUCAAUAGACAACAAAUUGAUGUUGAUGGUCAAAAGACAUGGGGCUAUGUAUGUGUUGGAGUUGGUGUAGAAAAUGAUGAGAUGCAAAUAGCAAGUGAAGCUCUUGUUCUUUUGUUAGUUUCACAUACAGGCCAUUGGAAGAUGCCAGUUGCAUAUGUCUUUGUUUCUUCUCUAACGUCUAAGAAAAAGGCUAAUAUAAUAAACGAAUCCCUAAUUCGCUCACAUGAUAUGGAAUUGAUAUAACGUCUGUUACCUGUGAUGGUCCAAGUGUUAAUUUCAGUAUGAUGAAAGAACUUGGUUGCAAUUUCGAUAAUGUUCAUGAGAUGAAGACAUGGUUUGAACAUCCAGUAGAUAAAACCAAGAAAUUUUAUAGUGUACUGGAUGCAUGCCACAUGCUAAAACUCAUGAGGAAUAGUUUUGCCAGUUUGCAGCAGUUCAAAGAUCCCAAUGGAGAAAUUACAAAUUAGAAAUAUGUAAAACAAUUACACGAAUUACAAGAGCAAGAGGGUGUACAUAUAGCCAAUAAGCUGAAACGUGCACAUAUCGAAUGGUUUAGGCAGAACAUGAAGGUUAAUUUAGCAGCCCAAACUUUGAGCAAUAGUGUUGCCGAUGCCAUUGAAAUUAUCUCUAGGACUAGAACAUUAAAAUUAAAAGAAUUUGAAGGCAGUGAAGGAACCGUUCAGUUAUCAGGAGAAUGGGCAGUUUAUUCGAUAUAUUGAAUUCAAGAAGCCCUCAUUGUAAAGGUUUUAAGGCACCCUUGAGGCUUUCUAAUGAACAUAUUUGGAGACCAUUUGUCAUAGAAACAAUAACUUAUUUGCUGAGGUGCACAGAUGUAUCAGGAAGACCACUGUUUCUAACUCCUAUAAGGAAACUCCAUUCAAUGGAUUUUUUUUUUAUUUUUGAUGACCUUGGUAUCGAUGUGUAUUAGUGAUUAGAGGUUUCUUUUCGGUCGAAAUUUCAGAGACUCAAUUAGACAAAAUGAAAAAAAGAAAUAAAAUCUGUUAACAAAAGAAGCGACAUUGAUAACUUGAAUACGGCCUAUUUUGAUCUCAUACAGAUAAUACAAGAUUUAUAACAUCCACAGAUUUGUAUUGUACGUGUUCGCUUGAGUUUACCUACAUAUUAUUUCGUUUUUUCUUAUUUGAUAAUUAUCAGAUGAUUAACACUGAAUGUCAUCCGUCCAGUUCAUGUUCCUUUGAUGUAUUUUAUUUCGUACAAGUUAGUCAACCGUAUAUAAUGUCUUUUAUUAUUUCAUCCUCGUUGUUUUUAAUUUUCGAAUUCAAAAUAGAGACCAACUGGCAAUAGCUCUGAAGAUGAUUCAAAAUAAAAUCGAAACGUCGGCAUUUUGUCUAAUUGAGUCUCUGAAAUUUCGACCGAAAAGAAACCUCUAAUCACUAAUACACAUUGGAUUUUGUGUUACUGCCUUAUCAGUGUGUGGAACAUUUGAUGACUUUGUUAUGUCUGGCAAAUUCAGUUAUUUUUCAACAUAUAAGGUUUCCCAAGAUCAUUUGGAAACUCUCUUUUGUUCUAUAAUAGUCGUAAUUGCUGGAACAAUAAUUCAAGUUGUUACAAUUUAUGAGAACUUUAAGAAGACUUCUUGUACAUACUAAAAAGUAAGUCAAGAUGGAGGAAAUUGUAAAGUCUUGGAUACUACAACGAUUUUGUCAGUUCCAAGCACAAGUGGUAACUGAUGUAGGGUGGAAGUAGAUGUUUCUAAUUAUAGGAGAUAUAACUUUGACCCAUCCGACUCUCCAUCAGAUCAUGACUUUGAUUUAUUCAAUCAAUUCAUUGAUCUGAAUACACUAAAAUCUAAUGUAGUUACUUAUAUAAGUGGGAAACUGAAUCUGCAACUGAUGUUGUUAGUGGAGAAUCAUAUUCUUUAUUAUCCUUCAAAAAUAAAGGGGACUUCAUGUACCAUCAUAUGGAGUUGUAAAGAUGAUAUGCCAAAAUGUAGAGAUGGCAAUCAGGAAUUUGAUGGUUUCAACAGAAAAUACAAUUGCAAGAGAUGAAAAUUUCCUCGAAGUAUUUGCGACAAUUCAGUCUCAAAAAUUUUAUGAUAAAGUUGAUGAUUUGUUCCCCUCCUUGAAAGAAUAUUUUUUAGAUUCUUCAGUGAUUGGUGGACAUCAUGGCUUUCUUCUAGUGAAAAAUAUUGCCAGAUCUUAUUCUAAAAUUAGAAUAUUCAAUAAUCUAUGUAAAAAGUUCACUGAAAGAAUUCAAGAUCCUGCAAUUAGAAGAAGACUUCAUCACUUGAUCUACUACAGUAAACAAUAAUGG